GGAACAUAAGAAAAGGAGAAGUAGAAAAAAGCAAUAUCUUCGUUCUGAUGGCACUUGCUAAUAACAGUGCAAGAUGGUCGACGGCCAUGCUAUACAUGGCUAUUGCUUUCAUGGUGUUUUCCAUGAUGUGUUCUACCUUCCCAUCCUGCCAUGCAGACACUCAAUCUGUUUAUCAUGUGAUCUGUGAGACUCUCAAUCCCUGCAAUAGCGAGAGGUGUGAAGAUCUAUGUAGACGCAGAGGCUCACAUAACUUCAGACACUAUUGCAAGACCCAUAAUGUGGAAAUUCCAAAGUGUUGUUGUAUAGAAAUACCAUCUAAGUGAUGGUUCUCCGGCAUGAACCAUGUAAUGUUGAAUAAAGAUGUUUGUUAAA